GAUGAACGCUGGCGGCGUGCCUAAUACAUGCAAGUCGAGCGAACAGACGAGGAGCUUGCUCCUCUGACGUUAGCGGCGGACGGGUGAGUAACACGUGGAUAACCUACCUAUAAGACUGGGAUAACUUCGGGAAACCGGAGCUAAUACCGGAUAAUAUAUUGAACCGCAUGGUUCAAUAGUGAAAGACGGUUUUGCUGUCACUUAUAGAUGGAUCCGCGCCGCAUUAGCUAGUUGGUAAGGUAACGGCUUACCAAGGCAACGAUGCGUAGCCGAACUGAGAGGGGGGUCGGCCACACUGGAACUGAGCCACGGUCAAGACUCCUACGGGAGGGCGCAGUAGGGAACCUUCCGCAACAGGCGAAAGCCUGACGCAGCAACGCCGCGUGAGUGAUGAAGGUCUUCGGAUCGUAAAACUCUGUUAUUAGGGAAGAACAACUGUGUAAGUAACUAUGCACGUCUUGACGGUACCUAAUCAGAAAGCCACGGCUAACUACGUG
rnacentral:rRNA from 1 species